rnacentral:rRNA from 1 species
AUAGCGUAUAUUAAAGUUGUUGCAGUUAAAAAGCUCGUAGUUGGAUUUCUGGAAGGGCUCUAAUGUCCGAUUGAUAUCGUGUGCAGCGGAGCCCUUCCAUCCUUCUGUUAACGUUUCUUGGCAUUCAUUUGCUGGUUGCGGGCUCAGAUAUUUUACCUUGAGAAAAUUAGAGUGUUUCAGGCAGGCUUGCGCCCGAAUACAUUAGCAUGGAAUAAUAGAAUAGGACUUUGGUCUCCUUUGUUGGUUUGAGGGACUAGAGUAAUGAUUAAUAGGGACAGUUGGGGGCAUUAGUAUUUAAUUGUCAGAGGUGAAAUUCUCGGAUUUGUUAAAGACCAACUAUUG